rnacentral:rRNA from 1 species
GACGAACGCUGGCGGCGUGCUUAACACAUGCAAGUCGAACGGAAAGGCCUGCUUUCCCUUGUGGAUUGCGGGUACUAGAGUGGCGAACGGGUGAGUAACACGUGAGUGAUCUGCCCCCAACUUGGGUAUAAGCCUGGGAAACUGGGUCUAAUUCCCGAUAGGACUGCAGGGUGGUGCCUGUGGUGGAAAACGAUUUUCUAGUGGUUGGGGAUGAGCUCGCGGCCUAUCAGCUUGUUGGUGGGGUAAUGGCCUACCAAGGCGGCGACGGGUAGCCGGCCUGAGAGGGUGGACGGCCACAUUGGGACUGAGAUACGGCCCAGACUCCUACGGGAGGCAGCAGUGGGGAAUAUUGCACAAUGGGCGGAAGCCUGAUGCAGCGACGCCGCGUGGGGGAUGACGGCCUUCGGGUUGUAAACUCCUUUCGACCGCGAGGAAGCCACCUGGUUGGAAGGGUGGUGACGGUAGUGGUAGAAGAAGCACCGGCUAACUACGUG